rnacentral:piRNA from 1 species
UAAGGCAGAAAUAAGGUGGUCUUUGUGCUCU